rnacentral:misc_RNA from 1 species
AACGCACAUUGCGCCCCUUGGUAUUCCAUGGGGCAUGCCUGUUCGAGCGUCAUCUACACCCUCAAGCUCUGCUUGGUGUUGGGCGUCUGUCCCGCCUCCGCGCGCGGACUCGCCCCAAAUCCAUUGGCAGCGACCCUCGCCCCCUCCCGCGCAGCACAUUGCGCUUCUCGAGGGCGGCUCCGGGCCCGCGACCCAUCGAAGAUGACCACCGUCUUUUGACCUCGGAUCAGGUAGGGAUACCCGCUGAACUUAA